rnacentral:rRNA from 1 species
UACGGAGGAUGCAAGCGUUAUCCGGAAUGAUUGGGCGUAAAGCGUCCGCAGGUGGCUGUGUAAGUCUGCUGUUAAAGAGUGAGGCUCAACCUCAUAAAGGCAGUGGAAACUACAUGGCUAGAGUGCGUUCGGGGCAGAGGGAAUUCCUGGUGUAGUGGUGAAAUGCGUAGAGAUCAGGAAGAACACCGGUGGCGAAAGCGCUCUGCUAGGCCGCAACUGACACUGAGGGACGAAAGCUAGGGGAGCGAAUGGG